UUCAGCUUGCUUUCUUAUAGAACCCAAGACUAGAAACCUCACCCGGCCCGGACACGGACAGGAUUGACAGAUUGAUAGCUCUUUCUCGAUUCCGUGGGUGGUGGUGCAUGGCCAUUCUUAGUUGGUGGAGCGAUUUGUCUGGUUAAUUCCGAUAACGAAUGAGACUCUGGCAUGCUAACUAGUUACACGACCCCCGAGCGGUCGGUGUCCCUCAAAUUCUUAGAGGGACAAGUGGCGUUCAGCCACCUGAGAUUGAGCAAUAACAGGUCUGUGAUGCCCUUACAUGCCCGGGGCUGCACGCGCGCUACACUGACUGGCUCAGCUUGUGCCUACCCUACGCCGGCAGGCGCCGGUAACCCGUUGAACCCCACAAUGGGCCCUCUCACCCCUGAUCACUAAUGGAGAAA
rnacentral:ncRNA from 1 species